AGUUCUCGACCACCUGGCAGCCAGAUAAAGACAAUAAUAACUUACAAGGAUACAGCCACAAAACAAAAUCUUAAUUCACUGUCUUCAUUGGGUGGCAUUAAUUUCCUGAAAAACUCACUUGAAGCUGCAUGAUCAUCAAGGAUCAGAUGUACUGCCUCUUUACAGUUAAUUUUAAGAAUGAGAUUUGCUUUACACAAGUUUAGCACACAGAAGUAGAUCUACAUACAUGGCAUAAUUAUUGCUAUCACUGUGUUGGUUUGGUUAUCAGCCAAAAUAUUCUGAUUCAUCACUCUGAGCUUGCACUUUUCUACACCUAACAGACAAAGCUUGGAAAGCCUUGAAAGUACUAACUUGUUAAAAAAAAUUCCUGGGAACAGAUGUCAAGAAAUACCACAUGGAAAUAAGUAUGCGCUGGUUUGAGAAGUGCAUUUGCAGCUUGUGUUAAAAAGUCCAUGACAUUUUCUGGAGAUUUUGCCAUUGUUCCUGUUAAUGCACGAUGUGAAUAACUUGGGUAGUUUACCAGCUGAGCAAGUUGAUGCCGUAAGGGUAGAUACCAGCAAGUUCAUCACCAAAUGGCAAAUGAGAUAUUGGAACUUUAACAGGAGAUGCUGCUGUAUGAGAGAACUGUGCACCAAU